UAAUACUACUGCUGAAAAAUAUAUUUUUAUUUCAAUUAACAUAACGGCUUUAAGAUGAUAAAUCAUUAUCAAGUGUUGGAAGAAAAUUUGAAAAAUUUCUUCUUACGUCUGAAUAUCAAUUUUAAUGAUAAACCAAGAGUAUUGUAUUGAAAUUACAAUCCAAAAGUAAAUGUGAUGUCAUUCGUAGCUGUUGGUAGCUUUAUACGGAGCAAUCAAGUGACCAAAUGAAGGACAAUGAACAUGAGAUGUAUUAAAUCGAGCAUGUCAUGUCUAUUAUUUACAUCAUUUAUAUUUAGUCCCGUUACAGCUGAUGGUCGGAUGUUCUACGUCAUCACCGUGGCUCAUGGUCUUCAAACUCAAGUGAUCAUCGAGUUCUUACUACUUCAGUAUCUGAGACUGUUGAGCUAAACAACUGCAAAAAUUUAAGAGAUUAAUAAUAUAGUCUUCACAUGAAAAUAUAGCGACGUUUAAUUUUCCUUUGGCUUUUACAGUGGAGUCAGCUUGGUCAUGAUCCAUACAAGAAAACACGCUACAUGCAAAGAAGAGAAAGGGAGAUAUUUGAGAGAGAGAAAGAAUAAACAUAAACUCAAGUCUCAUGUAAUUACUCUAACCUAUUCGUCAUUUGCGCUUCACAUACUAUCUAAAAUUUAUUUAUAUUUU